rnacentral:rRNA from 1 species
GACGAACGCUGGCGGCGUGCUUAAUACAUGCAAGUCGAACGGAAAGGCCCUGCUUUUGUGGGGUGCUCGAGUGGCGAACGGGUGAGUAACACGUGAGUAACCUGCCCUUGACUUUGGGAUAACUUCAGGAAACUGGGGCUAAUACCGGAUAGGAGCUCCUGCUGCAUGGUGGGGGUUGGAAAGUUUCGGCGGUUGGGGAUGGACUCGCGGCUUAUCAGCUUGUUGGUUGGGUAGUGGCUUACCAAGGCUUUGACGGGUAGCCGGCCUGAGAGGGUGACCGGCCACAAUGGGACUGAGAGAGGGCCCAGAGUCCUACGGGAGGCAGCAGUGGGGAAUAUUGCACAAUGGGCGGAAGUCUGAUGCAGAAACGCCGCGUGCGGGAUGACGGCCUUCGGGUUGUAAACCGCUUUCGCCUGUGACGAAGCGUGAGCGACGGUAAUGGGUAAAGAAGCACCGGCUAACUACGUG